GAAAUGCGAUAAGUAGUGUGAAUUGCAGAAUUCAGUGAAUCAUCGAAUCUUUGAACGCACAUUGCGCCCUUUGGUAUUCCAAAGGGCAUGCCUGUUCGAGCGUCAUUUGUACCCUCAAGCUUUGCUUGGUGUUGGGCGUCUUGUCUCUAGCUUUGCUGGAGACUCGCCUUAAAUUAAUUGGCAGCCGGCCUACUGGUUUCGGAGCGCAGCACAAGUCGCACUCUCUAUCAGCAAAGGUCUAGCAUCCAUUAAGCCUUUUUUUCAACUUUUGACCUCGGAUCAGGUAGGGAUACCCGCUGAACUUAAGC
rnacentral:misc_RNA from 1 species